rnacentral:tRNA from 1 species
GGGCGAGUGGCGGAAUUGGCAGACGCGCUAGGUUCAGGGUCUAGUGCACGUACGUGCAUGCGGGUUCAAGUCCCGCCUCGCCCACCA